rnacentral:lncRNA from 1 species
CUGAGGUAAAGGAUAAGAUUACAGACAGAGAAGAUUCAGGAAAAGAAAAUUCUCUCCCUUGGAUGCCUUUUAACCUAAAGGAUACAGACAAAGAGGAACAUAUGAAACCCAACACCAAAGAAGGAAGGAAACGGUGAUAGCUGAUUUUAUAUUUUAUUAAUGUGGUUAUUAGGUAUACGCACUGUAGCAUUGCCUCAAAUUACCUAUCAAGUCCUGUCUAUGUUACAGUUUGUACAAUCUGAUCUUGAUUAAAGGCAAGAUGCUGUACAAGUAUAUACAAAACUCUGUCUUUUCACUACAAUGUUUCAAAUUUUUGUUCUAAUAAAUCCCUCUGAAUUUCUUCUAUUUUUGUUGUUGUUGUUGUUUUUCUAUCUUGUCCAAGUGGAUCACUAAUUUAAAUAUUUCCCAUAAAAUUCACAGCUAAGUGGGCUGGAGAAAAAUAAUAAAGAGUUG